rnacentral:lncRNA from 1 species
CAUUCUAAAGUCUGCAUAGUAAUACAUUUACCUGAUCACAUAUAUAAAACAUGACAUUUACUAAUAGCACCUUAUUUUCUAUGCUAUGUGACAUAUAAUUAAGAGUAACAUUUAUAAAAUUGUACCAACAAUAAUGAAGCUGAUAUAAAAAUGAGUAAAAAAUGUCAAUUAAAAAUGCUAUGGUCCCAUAUAACUUAAACACCAGUUCAUUCUUAUUUAGUUCUAUGAAUUUAAAACACAAGAGUUUUUUUAUAUUGACUCAAGCCAUCUAAGAAUAACACAAGCCAUCAGUGAACAAAAAGCUUACAAAACACAGCAAAUAAGAAGUCAGAUUUAUGAAAUGAACAUGCUGAACAUUAAGGUGGUACCUAACACUACAGGGAGAUAACUCUGUAAAAUCAGCUUAACGUUUUAAUUACGUUGCGUUGUUAAGGGAAUAUUAAGCUUCUCAAUGAUCAAUAUUGGUGUUUGUCAAACUGCUAUAUAACCAGUGUAAUUUUUCUGAUAAAAUGGUUGGAUCAAAUUUUUGUCAAAGGGUCAAAGUAAAUACUUUGUCAAAAUUUUAUGAAAAUUAAACGAGCCAAAUUAGUUUUAGUGAAGGUGUUGGGUACCACCUUAAAUAAAUUUCAUUAUUUUUUUUUAAAGUUUUGAAUACUGUUAAGACAGCAGUACACAGAAUUUCAAUAUUUGAUGAGUGCAUAGGAAGAUUUUUACAACGCUGUUUAACACUGUUAUUGAGGGUUUUGUUUCCUUGAUUUUUAUCAUAAACUAUGAAAUCUAUUUAUUUAUUUUCGUGGGAUUUUUAACAUGAAUUAACUUUAGAUACAUAGCUUUCAACUUAAUAAAUUUGUAUACAUGUCCAAAUAUGGUUGUCCCAGUUUUGGGACAGUUAUAUGGCUGUUGAUACGAACAGGAUUUAUUCUAUAAGAUUAACUAAGUACAGUGACUUUUAAAUUUAUAAGUACAAGUGCAAAACUUAUCAUGUAACCUACAAUAACUUUCCUUUUAAAAAAAAAAAAUUAUAGUACAAUUACAUCAUGCAACUUUUCAAAAAGAGAAAAUUCAGUUUAGCCCUCUUCAAACUUUGAAAGGGAAGAAAUUGAUGAACUUGUUGCAUCAUACUUUGGAACUACACACCACUUAUCAAUAAAGUGAACCAUAUCCUCAUUUUAUUUAAACAUUUUGGUUUGACCGCUACCAAAUACACUUUUACCAGAUGUACAAUUACACAAAUAACUUUGAAAUUGGAUUUUUUUUGCCCCUUUUGCCCAAUGAUUCUAAAUACAUAUGGUAUCUAAUCACAGCAUGGUGCAAUCACAUCCACUACAAUUAAACUCGGACAAGUGUUAACCAUUGUCUUCCCAAUGGUCAGGUUAGUUUGGGGAUUUAUCUAACGCUUUUGAAACAUUUAGGCAUUUAAUAGGUUUUGGAAAUAAUAUGGGGCAGGUGAAAAAGCAUGGUUUAACUUGAGAUUUAAGAGUUAAACGUUAGCUUUAAUAUUUAAGAUACAUGUAUUUCUUAAAGUUCUAUUGUUGGAGGACAUUAAAAGCCUCAUUGUAAAUAGUUUGUCAUGGUACAUGUACUAUUAAUAACCAUUGAGGAGUCGUAAAAAUACAACAAUAUGAAACUGAAGUCUAAUGAAAGAAAAUUGUUUAUCCCUUCGAGUCCUUUUCAGUUGCAAGCAAUUUAAAAGACAAAAAAUUCAGGAAAAAGAUAUUCUGCUUUUCUUAAAUUUAUAUUA